rnacentral:tRNA from 1 species
GGAGAAAGCGAGUUGUUGAAAUCAUUGAUUUUAUAUGAUUUUAUUAAUCUGCGCAUAAGCCUGCUAAGCGUGUAACGGGUGUUAAGCUCGUUCGAGAGUUCAAAUCUCUCCUUCUCCGCCA